AAACAAGAUGAUUGGAGUUCCAUUCCACGUUAUCAUCUCUGCUGGUACAUCAUCUCAGUCGAAGGAGAACUCAAAAAGUCUUUGAGCCUAUAAAUACUGCUGGCAAAGCCGCCCCCCAUUUUCCUCCUCAGUGUUAUCGACCAGAUUUUUAUCUUUGAUCCUUUUCAAACAGAAACUUUGACCCCUUCCUCUCUGGUCCAUUGAUUGAUUUCAUUUUUCUUACCCCCAGGAUUUUAUUUUUCCCAUUUAAAAAAAUUUUGUUCAUUUCAAUUUUUCUUUUUCUCCGUUCCAUUUUUCACUCGACCAAAAAGAUGAAAUUUUCCACACACGCAUCCACACUCUAUCAAAACGCCUUCCCUUCACACUCCCCAUGGCCGAUUGAUGGGUGUGUUCCUUCUCUUCUGGAUGUGAGUGGGUGGGUGUGUGUGUGUGCAACCAGUCUGAUAAAAAAAAGAAAAAGGAAAAAAGAUCCUCAGCCACCCAACAACAGCAACUACACCCAAACAGCGCAACCCCCAAACACAACACACAGAGAAAAAGAGAGAGAUGCCUCCACAAUGAUGUCACUCUCUGCUCGACGGAGCGUGUACAGCAGAAGCAGCAGCCAAGGACAAGACAGAGAAGGGCCAAAAAAUAAAAAAUGAAAAUCAAAUCAAAUAUAAAAAGAUCUUCUUCUUUUUACAGAGUUCCUUCCUCCUCAACACGACAGACUCGACAACAGCACUUGCCGGACUCAAACAACAACUUUGUGGGGGUUUUCUUGGAUUGUCGGACAUCACCGACGAUCCUUGGAAGGAUCGAAAUCUUUUAUUGAAGAUUUAUCAACUUGGUUGAUUUAGACAUACUAUUGAUAAAACGUUUUGUGUUGAGAAGAAGAAGAAGAACAAAAAUAAAAGCCGAAUAAAAGUU